rnacentral:rRNA from 1 species
UGGGGAAUAUUGGACAAUGGGCGCAAGCCUGAUCCAGCCAUGCCGCGUGAGUGAUGAAGGCCCUAGGGUUGUAAAGCUCUUUCACCGGUGAAGAUAAUGACGGUAACCGGAGAAGAAGCCCCGGCUAACUUCGUGCCAGCAGCCGCGGUAAUACGAAGGGGGCUAGCGUUGUUCGGAUUUACUGGGCGUAAAGCGCACGUAGGCGGACUUUUAAGUCAGGGGUGAAAUCCCGGGGCUCAACCCCGGAACUGCCUUUGAUACUGGAAGUCUUGAGUAUGGUAUAGGUGAGUGGAAUUCCGAGUGUAGAGGUGACAUUCGUAGAUAUUCGGAGGCACACCAGUGGCGAAGGCGGCUCACUGGACCAUUACUGACGCUGAGGUGCGAAAGCGUGGGGAGCAAACAGG